UAACUUAAGCCAGAUAGCAUAUAUUCUUCCUUGAAAUAAUCUGCAGUUUUCAGUUGUAGAAUUCUGGGGUGGCAUCUUGGUUUGAUGGCAUUGUUAUUCCUGAUAUUAUUUUUCUCAUGUUGCAGGCAGUGAGGGCCACUUGCUCGAGGAGGCUAAAUUUAUAAAUCUUUCACUCAGUUCCCUUGGAAAAUGUAUAAAUGCAUUGGCGGAAAACAGUCCACAUAUCCCUACGAGAGAUUCUAAGCUUACGAGGUUGCUUCGUGAUUCAUUUGGAGGCUCUGCGAGGACUUCACUUAUCAUAACAAUUGGGCCAUCAGCAAGGCACUAUGCAGAGACCACUAGCACAAUAAUGUUUGGACAACGGG